AUGCUCUUGUGGCUUCCAUGCAGAAGUGCACAGAAACAGCUAUUUGCAAUUAAGAAGUUGGCUGUUACUGUUUUUCUGAUGGAUGCUGUUGGAUUAU